rnacentral:lncRNA from 1 species
GUUUCCAUCCUUUAGGAAGACCCUGGAACGUGCCAGUUGAUUCUGACAAUUUCUCAUGAACAGAAACACCUAGGAAGGGAGAACUGGGCCCGCCUGGCAGGACGACUGAGCAAGUUCUUGGAAAACCAGAGAUAUUAGAGCGGUGAAUCGCGCUGGUCACGUUGGACACCUGCGCGUUAGGAGAUUCUGGAGCCAGAGGGAGAGACCCCAGAAACGCCCCGGUCGGCGACCCAGCCCGAGACGCCUGGGGUCCCAAGGGAAGCUGAACGCCCGGUGGGCUCCCGGGAUGGUUCUUCCGGUUCUUUGUGCCGCCUUCACCCAGUGAAGGAGCCUGUAUCCACCCUGCCCAGUCGCUGUUGGGCUGCUGCGGAGCUUCCGCUGCCAUCUUCGGAUCCUGUGUUCCGCCCGGGGCUCCACCAGGGCAGGGAUGGUGCAGAAUGGGGAAAUGGAGAGAGAACCUGAAAGAGCCCCAAACUCGAGGACCUAUUGCUCCCCAAGAAUAACAUCUUCCAGAACUAGACAGAAAACUAGGCGUCUGGGAACCCUGAAAUCCUUGGAGGAGUAGAUCAUCAUGACCCUCUGUGUUCCUUUUGGCAAAUGACUUGCUUCCAUUGUUUGUUUGUUCAAUUGUCUGUUUGUUAAAUAAAUAAAACCCUUUUUAUGUAUCUUUAAAAUUACAUUGGU